rnacentral:lncRNA from 1 species
UGAGAUCCACCAUGCGAGUGAACGGAUGUGGAAGCCCGUUAACGAAGGCGGUUGUGGGGGGGUGGGGGGAGAGGGGGUACAAACCUCCUUGUUCGUUAACAAACCUCAAUGUUGGAUUUCAUCUUUUUUUUUUUUUUUUGUCAAAAAAGAAAGAUGAAAUCCAACAUUGAGCUAAACAGUAAAUACAAUAUACUUAAAACAAAACUCUUCAACAUAUGUUUGUAGAAACUUUGACAUAAAAUAGGAAACACAUAGAAUACUCUUACAAAUGUAACGACGUAAAUUAAACAAUAACCAAAGUAGACGUUACUUUUAUUUUAUGUUUCAGCAACGAAAUAAACUCAAGGCUUUGUUAAAGUGUGUUGCUUUGGCUGCAAGGUACUCUUCCCAUGUCAAACGGCGGUACAGAGGAGGAUGGUCCGUGUCGGCAGUCAACGGACCGAUAUGAAGGUUCUUGGGUGGGCCUGAGAAAUAUGCGGCUGAGACACGGUGGUGCGUCUUGUUCACCACCGCACGGUGC